AUUGAUUGUUGCGACUCCUAUCUCUCCAUUGAUUGCCAGGGUUGAUUUGGCCGAUCUGGCUGGCUAGGCAGGUGUCCACUUCCUCUCUCAUCACUCCACAUGUGACCCUCUCAAAGAUGCGAGAUCAGUUGAAGAGGACAACUACCUCCAAUGGAGGAGGACCAGUCUUCGAUCAAGAAUAUAUGAGUGGCUGCACUCCCCUGCUAGCACCUCCAAACAAGCUCUCACGUCUAAGCUCCUAUGAGUCUACAGAUCAGCCCUAUAGAUGUUCAAGGGCAAAAUU
ensembl:misc_RNA 7SK 7SK RNA